UGGGGAAUUUUGGACAAUGGGCGAAAGCCUGAUCCAGCAAUGCCGCGUGUGUGAAGAAGGCCUUCGGGUUGUAAAGCACUUUUGUCCGGAAAGAAAUCCUUGGCUCUAAUACAGUCGGGGGAUGACGGUACCGGAAGAAUAAGCACCGGCUAACUACGUGCCAGCAGCCGCGGUAAUACGUAGGGUGCAAGCGUUAAUCGGAAUUACUGGGCGUAAAGCGUGCGCAGGCGGUUUGCUAAGACCGAUGUGAAAUCCCCGGGCUCAACCUGGGAACUGCAUUGGUGACUGGCAGGCUAGAGUAUGGCAGAGGGGGGUAGAAUUCCACGUGUAGCAGUGAAAUGCGUAGAGAUGUGGAGGAAUACCGAUGGCGAAGGCAGCCCCCUGGGCCAAUACUGACGCUCAUGCACGAAAGCGUGGGGAGCAAACAGGAUUAGAUACCCUGGUAGUCCACGCCCUAAACGAUGUCAACUAGUUGUUGGGGAUUCAUUUCCUUAGUAACGUAGCUAACGCGUGAAGUUGACCGCCUGGGGAGUACGGUCGCAAGAUUAAAACUUCAAAGGAAUUGACGGGGUCAUAGCUG
rnacentral:rRNA from 1 species